ACUGACUCUGUUUUGUUUAUUUUUCUUAAUUCUGUUUUUUCCAUUUUUAUUUGACUGAAUUCUGUGUUUAAUGGUAUGUUCCAUUAGAUCAGAUCACUGAUUUGGGUCAUUUUAUUAGAUCAUGUCAGGAAAUUGAGACAUUUUUAAAUAUAAAUUAACUCGCCUUUAUUUAUUUUUAAAAAGGUGGUAUGCCUAGUGCCCAGGCCACCCUUGCUCCCUUUUUUUUUUACAGUGUUUGUGAAGACGUACACCAAACGCGCGUAAAACUCCUCAUAUAUUUUAUAAAAACACUUGGUAUAAAAACGUAGGGUUUUUAAAUAAAUCACACCCACAUUGAGGCAAAUCCCACGAUAUUCUGUUCACAGUUAAUUAUGUUUUCAUUGUAAAACUCCGUGAUUCCGUCCGUGUUUUGCGCAUCGCGGAAAUUAUAUAUGGGACCUAAAAUAACAUUAAAACCUCAAGUAUUUUCGAGUCAUUAGGCUCAA